rnacentral:rRNA from 1 species
UACGGAGGGCGCAAGCGUUGUUCGGAAUUACUGGGCGUAAAGCGCACGUAGGCGGCUUUGUAAGUCAGAGGUGAAAGCCCGGGGCUCAACCCCGGAACUGCCUUUGAUACUGCAUGGCUCGAGUCCGGAAGAGGUGAGUGGAAUUCCUAGUGUAGAGGUGAAAUUCGUAGAUAUUAGGAAGAACACCAGUGGCGAAGGCGGCUCACGGGUCCGGCACUGACUCUGAGGUGCGAAAGCGUGGGGAGCAAACAGG